rnacentral:rRNA from 1 species
GGUAUAACUUAGUGGCAGACGGGUGAGUAAUGUAUAGGAAUCUACCUAGUAGUACGGAAUAAUUGUUGGAAACGGCAACUAAUACCGUAUACGCCCUACGGGGGAAAGAUUUAUUGCUAUUAGAUGAGCCUAUAUUAGAUUAGCUAGUUGGUAAGGUAAUGGCUUACCAAGGCAAUGAUCUAUAGCUGAUCUGAGAGGAUGAUCAGCCACACUGGAACUGAGAUACGGUCCAGACUCCUACGGGAGGCAGCAGUGGGGAAUAUUGGACAAUGGGCGAAAGCCUGAUCCAGCCAUGCCGCAUGAGUGAAGAAGGCCUUUGGGUUGUAAAGCUCUUUCGGUGAGGAAGAUAAUGACGGUACUCACAGAAGAAGUCCUGGCUAACUCCGUGCCAGCAGCCGCGGUAAUACGGAGAGGGCUAGCGUUAUUCGGAAUUAUUGGGCGUAAAGAGCGCGUAGGCUGGUUAGUAAGUUAAAAGUGAAAUCCCAAAGCUCAACUUUGGAAUUGCUUUUAAAACUGCUAACCUAGAGAUUGAAAGAGGAUAGAGGAAUUCCUAGUGUAGAGGUGAAAUUCGUAAAUAUUAGGAGGAACACCAGUGGCGAAGGCGUCUAUCUGGUUCAAAUCUGACGCUGAGGCGCGAAGGCGUGGGGAGCAAACAGGAUUAGAUACCCUGGUAGUCCACGCUGUAAACGAUGAAUGUUAAAUAUGGGAAGUUUACUUUCUGUAUUACAGCUAACGCGUUAAACAUUCCGCCUGGGGACUACGGUCGCAAGAUUAAAACUCAAAGGAAUUGACGGGGACCCGCACAAGCGGUGGAGCAUGUGGUUUAAUUCGAUGCAACGCGAAAAACCUUACC